GUUUUGGAGAAUUUGAGAGUUCAACUUCGUACUGAUUGGGCUUCUUUUCGGGUACCGUAUUAUAGAAGUUGGGGAGCCAAUAUUAUAUACAAGAAGCAUGAAAGCAGAGCACAUAAAAGAAGAAAAAUGGAUUGAAUUAAUUAUACCCCAUUUCCUGUACGUAGCUACUAUUUCUUUGGAAUUUCAGGAAUUUGAGAACGUUGUAAUGAUUAUAUGAGAUGAGAUGAAAAUACUUAUGAAAACAAGUAAGGUAAAACUUCCAGAUCGUGAGGUGGAGAAGGACUGUAUAGGAUGAUCCAAAACAAAUUAGCUUGUUAAUGAAACCCAAGAACUUACUGGAGGAAGUGAAGUAAUUGGUAGAAGACAAGGGAGACUCAAGAGAGGCUUUGGAGGGCCAAAUUAACUCUUUUCCAUCUUCAAAAUACUAUGCAGGAGGCAGCAGUUAUUCCACCAUAUGUUAUUUUUGAAAGUUAUGAAUUAUGAAGAGAAAAGUUAUAGAAAGUUUAUAAGCAGUAUUUUGGGACCAGGGUUCAAACCACACAAGGGGUUUUAAUCCUGAAUCCCUCUUCUAACCGGACGCGGUGCAAACAUGAUGUUUACACCAGCUGAUGUGAUGAUGACAUGUCAGCUUACAUUUUAUUUUCAAAUGGACAUUGCCGCACAAGAUUUCUUCCCAUGAAAAAUUCUUAGAUAAGCCAUACAUAGCACGAAUGUGGAGCUCUGGAUAGCACGUCCCUUCUUCCCAUUUCUAACAAUCCUUCCUGCUAAUACGGAAACCUAUCUUUUAUUCGGCCAUUGAUGCUGCCCCCGGUGAGCUCUAACACCAAUGAUUUGGCGUCGCCGACUACCUUAUCUACCACACCUAGUCCACAUUCAAUGUUUAUCUUAUAAAAAUCGCUCUGUAUUUUAUAAAUACAAAAUCAUGGCUCUACCACCCAGAGUUUUUCACACUAACAUUGGAAAGAAAUUUGGGGAAGAUUUUCGAAACCGGUAAUCGCAGCUCCGUCCAAAAACUUUAGAUAGACUAAAGCAUAUUUACAAUGGGAAGAAUAUGGAUGGGAAGAAUAUGGAGGAACAAGCAGUGUUGGGUUGUGCUUUGGAGCAACAGAUGCUGGGUGGUGUACUGUGGGCUGAAAAAAUUAACGUUCCGAAGUUCCUAAGUGGAGAAAGAAAGUGAGCAAGUUUGUUGUA